rnacentral:rRNA from 1 species
AGAGUUUGAUCCUGGCUCAGGACGAACGCAGGCGGCGUGCUUAACACAUGCAAGUCGAACGAAUGACCUCGAAUAGAUUUCUUCGGAAUGAAAUUUGAAUGAUUUAGUGGCGAACGGGUGAGUAACAAGUGAGAAACCUGCCUGGCACAAGGGGAUAGCCUCCGGAAACGGUGAUUAAUACCCUAUGAUACCGACCUAUCGCAUGAUAGAUUGGUUAAAGAUUUAUCGGUGUCAGAUGGUCUUGCGGCUGAUUAGCUUGUUGGUGGGGUAACGGCCUACCAAGGCAACGAUCAGUAUCCGGCUUGAGAGGGUGAACGGACACACUGGAACUGAGACACGGUCCAGACUCCUACGGGAGGCAGCAGUGGGGAAUUUUGCACAAUGGGGGAAACCCUGAUGCAGCGACGUCGCGUGAACGAUGAAGGCCUUCGGGUUGUAAAGUUCUGUCCUUAGCGAAGAUAAUGACAGUAGCUAAGAAGCAAGCUCCGGCUAAAUACGUGCCAGCAGCCGCGGUAAUACGUAUGGAGCAAGCGUUGUCCGGAAUUAUUGGGCGUAAAGGGUACGUAGGCGGUCGUGUGGGUCUAUAUUAAAAGGCAUUGGCUCAACCAAUGUUCGGUAUGGAAACUGCAUGACUUGAGUAGAUGAGGGGUAAGUGGAAUUCCUAGUGUAGCGGUGAAAUGCUUAGAUAUUAGGAGGAAUACCAGUGGCGAAGGCGACUUACUGGAAUCUAACUGACGCUGAGGUACGAAGGCGUGG